AUGAGCAAGGAAAAACACCGUCUAGGCAAGCUUGUUCAAGCACUCCUUAAUCAGCACGAUCAACAAGUUGCAUUUUUUUCUAAGACUUUAGUCCAAUUGAGGAUAGAUCAAGAAGAGGAAGGAGCUCGCAUUGUACCAGGGCAGAGAGGACUGCCGACGCUGAUAUUGUCGUCGGCGACGCGGGCGCGGGUGUUCCAGAGGUGGCACGGAGGAGAUUGGUGGGGUGGCCCUCGCUGGCGACGCGGAUGGGAGAGAUCGGCGUGGGCGGAGCAGAUUGGUGAGGGAGUACCGACGGUGGCACGGAGGAGAUCGGCACGGUCGGAGCAAAUCGGUGGAGAGAUCGGCUCGGGCGAAGGAGAUCGGAGGACGACGACCCUGGCAACUCCUGUUCAGCCGUGGUGGAAGACGGCGAUGGCGGCGACGAGGACGGCGGGGGCGAUCGAUGGCGGCGGCAGUGGGGGAGCGAUCUGGUGGAGGACGGCGUGGGCGGCGGGGAGGAUCGAUGGCGGCGGCAGCGCGGGACGGUGGGACGGCGGGGAGGAACAGCUAGUCGAGGAGGACGGCGAGGGCGAGCGGGCGAGAGGAAGGACGGCGAAAAGCGAGCGGGCGCGCGGAAGCCGGAAAGCCAGGGCGGAGAGAAGCGGAUGCAGCGCGAUUGGAGCGCGAUGGUGUGGACGGAUAGGAGCGUUUGGAGCGUCGAUUUGGUGGGAGGAUCCUCCGAUGAAUCUCAACCCUACGAUCGUUCAGGACUCACCACCACCACUACAGUUUUUUUUUAAGUAGUAUAGAUUUC
rnacentral:lncRNA from 1 species